CACGUAGGGCGCAAGCGUUGUCCGGAAUUAUUGGGCGUAAAGAGCUCGUAGGCGGUCUGUUACGUCUGCUGUGAAAACCCGGGGCUUAACCCUGGGCUUGCAGUGGAUACGGGCAGACUAGAGGCAGGUAGGGGAGAAUGGAAUUCCCGGUGUAGCGGUGAAAUGCGCAGAUAUCAGGAGGAACACCGGUGGCGAAGGCGGGUCUCUGGGCCGUAACUGACGCUGAGACGCGAAAGCGUGGGGAGCGAACAGG
rnacentral:rRNA from 1 species